CAUUACAGAGUUAUCCAACUCCCAAACCCAUGUGAACUUAUCUCUUUGUUGCCUCGGCGCAAGCUACCCGGGACCUCGCGCCCCGGGCGGCCCGCCGGCGGACAAACCAAAACUCUUGUUAUCUUAGUUGAUUAUCUGAGUGUCUUAUUUAAUAAGUCAAAACUUUCAACAACGGAUCUCUUGGUUCUGGCAUCGAUGAAGAACGCAGCGAAAUGCGAUAAGUAAUGUGAAUUGCAGAAUUCAGUGAAUCAUCGAAUCUUUGAACGCACAUUGCGCCCAUUAGUAUUCUAGUGGGCAUGCCUGUUCGAGCGUCAUUUCAACCCCUAAGCACAGCUUAUUGUUGGGAACCUACGGCUUCGUAGUUCCUCAAAGACAUUGGCGGAGUGGCAGUGGUCCUCUGAGCGUAGUAAUCUUUUAUCUCGCUUCUGUUAGGUGCUGCCCCCCCGGCCGUAAAACCCCCAAUUUUUUCUGGUUGACCUCGGAUCAGGUAGGAAUACCCGCUGAACUUAGUAACGGCGAGUGAAGCGGGAACAGCUCAAAUUUGAAAUCUGGCCCUCGGGUCCGAGUUGUAAUUUGUAGAGGAUGCUUUUGGUGCGGUGCCUUCCGAGUUCCCUGGAACGGGACGCCUUAGAGGGUGAGAGCCCCGUACGGUUGGACGCCUAGCCUCUGUAAAGCUCCUUCGACGAGUCGAGUAGUUUGGGAAUGCUGCUCUAAAUGGGAGGUAUAUUUCUUCUAAAGCUAAAUACUGGCCAGAGACCGAUAGCGCACAAGUAGAGUGAUCGAAAGAUGAAAAGCACUUUGAAAAGAGGGUUAAAUAGCACGUGAAAUUGUUGAAAGGGAAGCGUUUAUCACCAGACUUUUUCUAGGGGGAUCAUCCGGUGUUCUCACCGGUGCACUUCCCCUGGUUGAGGCCAGCAUCGGUUUUCGGAGGGGGAUAAAAGCUUCGGGAAUGUGACUCCCUCGGGAGUGUUAUAGCCCGUUGCAUAAUACCCUUCUGGGGACCGAGGUUCGCGCAUCUGCAAGGAUGCUGGCAUAAUGGUGAUCAACGACCCGUCUU
rnacentral:rRNA from 1 species